rnacentral:rRNA from 1 species
UGAGUAACACGUAUCCAACCUGCCGUCUACUCUUGACAGCCUUCUGAAAGGAAGAUUAAUACAAGAUGGCAUCAUGAGUCCGCAUGUUCACAUGAUUAAGGUAUUCCGGUAGACGAUGGGGAUGCGUUCCAUUAGAUAGUAGGCGGGGUAACGGCCCACCUAGUCUUCGAUGGAUAGGGGUUCUGAGAGGAAGGUCCCCCACAUUGGAACUGAGACACGGUCCAA